rnacentral:lncRNA from 1 species
UCCCGACUCUAAAGUCAUACACUUGCCUUAGAUGAUGCCCAGUGGUCCUCUAAUUAAUGAUUUUUUUUAAGCUUAAAGACCUUCAUACUAUACGUUGGCAAGGGUAAAGUGUAGAGCCUUUGUUUCACAAGAAGCCAGAUAGUAAUUUCUUCUCCAGGAAAUCAUUCCGUAAGUCAGAAUUUCUCCUCUGUACCCACCCAUAAAUGAUAAUACAGGCCGUAUUUUACCUGGUGCUGUAUUUGUGUACCUGUCCGCUGUCAAAAUCCAAGCCCUUGAAGGCAGGCUUCCUUCAGAUCUUCAUUGCCUUGCACAAUGCAAGGGUAGGUACUUCCAUCUUAAUUGAAUUUUUACUUCCCAUAAAAAUUCUUCAUGGUGACUUACAUUAGUCAUCAUUACACAUCACCGUCAGUUUUGUAAGCACAGUGUCAUUCAAGGUAUUGUAAAAUUUUGAGUUUGAUGAUGUGUGACAGUUUCAAUUAUUUUAGUACAGCCCUAAUGAGAACAAGG